CCAGGGAAAAGACCGGAGAAACUUCUUGCUUACUCGCAGCAACCACCGAAAGGCACAGUAUGCCUGAAACAUUCGGUGGUUGAUGUAGUAAACAACCAGUUUCU
rfam:Paraiso Escondido virus isolate Ecuador2012, complete genome